CUGCAUGUUUUGGCCCCGAGCCAUUGUUGGCCUCUCUAUUUCUGUAGAGUGGACAAGUACAAACAUGCUAGAUUAACACUUAAGACAUGGGAGUUAACAGGGCCACCAGUCUCUCAAGGUCAGACUGAGUUGGUAGUAUAAUACUCCAACAUUC
rnacentral:snoRNA from 1 species